GAUGAACGCUGGCGGCGUGCCUAACACAUGCAAGUCGAACGAAGCACUUAAGACAGAUUUCUUAGGAAUGAAGUUUUAUGUGACUGAGUGGCGGACGGGUGAGUAACGCGUGGGUAACCUGCCUUAUACAGGGGGAUAACAGUUAGAAAUGACUGCUAAUACCGCAUAAGCGCACAGUACCGCAUGGUACCGUGUGAAAAACUCCGGUGGUAUAAGAUGGACCCGCGUCUGAUUAGCUAGUUGGUGGGGUAACGGCCUACCAAGGCGACGAUCAGUAGCCGGCCUGAGAGGGUGAACGGCCACAUUGGAACUGAGACACGGUCCAA
rnacentral:rRNA from 1 species